rnacentral:rRNA from 1 species
UAGCGAAAUUCCUUGUCGGGUAAGUUCCGACCUGCACGAAUGGCGUAACGACUUCCCCACUGUCUCGACCAGGAGCUCGGCGAAAUUGCAGUACGAGUAAAGAUGCUCGUUAAGCGCAGAAGGACGAAAAGACCCCGGGACCUUUACUAUACCUUGGUAUUGGCAUUCGGUGUGGAUUGUGUAGCAUAGGCGGAAGGCUUCGAAGCCACGGCGCCAGCCGCGGUGGAGCCGCAAGGUGAAAUACCGCUCUGUUCGCAUUGGAUGUCUAACCUCGACCAGUCAUCCUGGUCAGGGACAGUGCCUGGCGGGUAGUUUAACUGGGGCGGUUGCCUCCCAAAGAGUAACGGAGGCGCUCAAAGGUUCCCUCAGCCCGGUUGGCAAUCGGGUGGCGAGUGUAAGUGCACAAGGGAGCUUGACUGCGAGACUGACGGGUCGAGCAGGGACGAAAGUCGGAACUAGUGAUCCGGUGCCGGUGUACGGACGCGGCAUCGCUCAACGGAUAAAAGGUACCCCGGGGAUAACAGGCUGAUCAUUCCCAAGAGUCCAUAUCGACGGGAUGGUUUGGCACCUCGAUGUCGGCUCGUCGCAUCCUGGGGCUGGAGCAGGUCCCAAGGGUUCGGCUGUUCGCCGAUUAAAGCGGCACGCGAGCUGGGUUCAGAACGUCGUGAGACAGUUUGGUCUCUAUCCUCUGCGCUCGUCGGAAUGUUGAGGAGGCCUGCCCAUAGUACGAGAGGACCUGGGUGGACGAACCUCUGGUAUGCCGGUUGUCACGCCAGUGGCACGGCCGGUUGGCUACGUUCGGAAGGGAUAACCGCUGAAAGCAUCUAAGCGGGAAGCCUGCUCCAAGAUAAGCAUUCCAUAGGACUACGGGUCCUUGAAGUCCCCAUGCAGAACACGUGGUUGAUAGGCCGGACGUGGAAGCCCCGCGAGGGGUGGAGCCGACCGGUACUAACGGACGAAAGGCAACACAAU